GGGCACUGUCUUACAGCCUGCCUGCUGCUGUGGGCCAAAGUGAGUCUCCCCAGCUGCUGCUGUGCUUCCUGCCUGAUGACAGGGGCCUGCCUGAUCGCUCUGAGCCAUUCCAGAAGAGCCACCUGCUACUACUUGGGAGCUCCUGCGGAUAUGGAGGAGUCAGAACUGCAGGCCUUCCAUCUCAGGCUCUUGUGUGGGAGACUGUGCUCACACGUGCGCCCGCAGGCAAAACCAAUAGCUACCAAGUUGCAGAUGCUACCAUGAUGCCAUCCUGACUUCCCUGGGCAGAGGACCUCACCUCCCCAGAGGGCUACACCACUAGGGAAAGAUAGAGACAGGCUAUGG